CAUAACUAGGUGGAUCGCAUGCUAUCUUUUGGACCCGCCCGAAAAGAAUUAUGAAAAAGUCUUGGCUUGGAUUCAUGGUGAAACUGAGAAAAUCGAGUUAAGGAAGAAGGAGAAGGAAGUGUAUUGGCUCAUGAAAGAAAGGGGGGACGGACCGUGGUUUCACUAUGAUUCCAUCGAUACCAGUCUUAUUGAUUACAGUCCUAAAGCCACGCCCGACAACUGAGCUUUCCAGCCUUCUGCCUCAAAAGGGACGCACCUGAAAGCGCAGCCGAAUUAUGUAAUAUAUCUCUGACUGAAUAAAUUAAAAAAAAAUAUUUCUGUU